rnacentral:lncRNA from 1 species
AGCCCCUUUCCUGAGUGUUAAUUUGAGUGGUGUUUUGAUCCUGUGAAUGAGCAGGAAUAACCUAACCCCCAGCUGCUCCUCCCCUGACGCAGCUCCAUGCCGUUCCCUCGGGCCCUGUCCAUGUCACACAGAGCAGAGCUCAGCGCUGCCCCUCCGCUCCCUGUGAGGAGUUGAAGCCGCCAUGGGGCCUCCCCUCAGCCUGCUCUGCUCUGGGCUGAAUGGUGACUCCUUUGGGAAAGAGACUCCUCCAGAUGGCUCCUUCAGGGACGACACACGAGUUGCCUCUUUUCUGGAGCUUGAGUCAGGGUGCUGGGAUGGAGAGGCCCCUGGAAGAAGCAGCAGAAGGAGACCAUUGCGUGUCUGAAAGCAGAGGUAGCAUUUUAGAGCAGAAACUUCAAUGUUACCUGGCUGGAGUACACCAGGUGAAGCUCUGCCUGUCUUGUAGAUACCACUCUGUUAAACCUUCCGUUAAGUAAAAUCGUUUGCUGCUCUUAUAAGAAACCCUUGCUCCAGGAAGGAAAUAGCUUAUCUCAGAGUUUGACAUUUGUGGCAAUGUUUUGCAGCUGGUAUCUGUGGGCAGUGCUAGGGCACUAUUUGGCCAACGCCACACAAAGAGAACAGAAAUGUUUAGUCAGAACAGGUUAUUCCUGUGUCCAUGUGGGGGAAGAGACAUUAGACUUGGAAACACAGUAUGUUUUUUAGUUGCAUUAAUGAAAAAUGAGGUUCUGAUUUUGGCUAAAAAUAACAGUAGGAAUGAGUUCUUGAGUUUUCACUAUGUUAUUAAUACAUAAAUAUAUUAAUAUUUAAGUCUUCUGUAUAUAUAAAGCACCUGUAACUGGAGAUGGCAUGGACACGCAGUCAGAUCUCAGCCUUAGCUCCUCACACAAGUGAAAUGCUGUGGCAAUACCUUUAUAAUAUGUUUGAAAAGUUGCUUUUUCUUUUAAAUUAACAAUAGUUGCUAACCUAUUUCUGUGCAAAAAUGUACAGAAUCAUUAUACUUUCUUGGGAAGAAAAUGGGGAACAAAGCUUGUUUUUUUUGUUCUUUUGUUUUUUUUUCCUAGAAAAACCAAUCCUCAUCACUGCAGGUAGAAAGCAAUUUCUUUCUUUCUUGACCUUUCUCAUAAAAGGAGCAAUAAUAAUGUUUGAGUUGUGCCUGUGAAUGGCAGUGUGAUGCGUCCCCAAAAGGUAAUAGGUGCACAGUUGAAUAUGUUUCUGCAGCUCUGCGUUAUGUAACAAGGAUAGAGGUGGCUGCUUAUUUAGAAAUUCUCUAAAUUGAGUCAUUACUCCUGUUGCAUUCCAUUUGUGUGUUAUUCUCUUACAUCUGAAGACUGGAGGUGAGUCUCUGAGAAGACACAGUAAACAUCAGUAAUGAUUGGGUACAACUAUGUCCAUCUGUGAUUCUACAUUUUGAAUAAUGGUAGAAAACUCUUCAAUAAGCUGAGGUGAAUUUCUGCUAAAGGUAAGUUGUCGCUGUAGAGAAGAAACCAGGAUGGACAGUUCAGGAAACUGUCUAUGAUUUUCAAGCACUUUAUUCUCAGGCAGAUAAAUGCUACUUACAGUAAGCUAAUCCUGACUCUCUGACCCAUGUUACUGAUGUUAGUGCACUCCUCAGGCUGCCAGUCUUAGUGAGUAGAGGGCAGGAUUUGUCCUCCCUGUUUGGGUAGAUGGAUGCCCAUGGGUAGGAGACCUUCUUAAGCAUUCCAGGUAGAUGUUGAAAAUUGCCCUCAGUACUGGCUGUUUAGCACAACUUCUGUGCUUUUCACAUGUGUUUUCAGAAUUAAGGGUUAUUUUUAUUUAUUAUUCUAAACUGUGAGGGUUGCUCCAAAAGUAAUACCUUCUAUUUUAUAUGUUGGCCCAUGACAUCAUAGGCAGAUGCUGGUGGUAAUGCAAUAUGGGUUGAACCUUUCCACCAAUAUUCUGUUAUGUUUUGUUGCUGUGUGACAGAUGGCAGCAGAUUGCAGUCUGACAAGUGGCGUCUGACGUGAAAGUGAGGAUGAAGCAAAGGUGUAUCACUGAAUCCCUCCAUGUGGAAAGAAAGGCAUCCACUGACAUUCACCAAUGUUUGCUGAAGUUUUUUGGAGACCUAACGGUAUCAAAUUUAUCUGACUACAAGGCACUGUGGACACUUAAUGUUCUCCAUGAAGUACUUCAGACCACACAGAAUCAGGCUCUCUGGACAUUCUUAUUUCAUGGCAAAUACUAUUAUGGAGUCCAUUCCAGUAUGGUAAAGCUCUGUUGGAGGCUUUGCUUUGCACACCAUCCCCUGUGAGACAGUUACAGUAGGAGACAAAUGAAGCAAAUAGGAUUGCAGCUGACAGUGCUGUAUGAAUAAAUUGCCUCUUCCUGUGAGUGUGGUUAAACACUGGAGCAAGUUACCCAGAGACUGGAAAGUCUCCAUCCCUGAAGAUACACAAAACCCAACUCUGCAUGGCCCUAAGCACCUUGCUAUCACUGACUUUGUUCUGAGGAUGGUAGUUGGACUCAAUAACCUCCAAAAGUACCUUUCCACCUCAGCAAUUCUGCGAUCUUGUAAUAUUUUAAUGAACAGCAAAUAUGACAUAUAAACUAUACCUUUGAUGAACCUUGUUUGAACAUGCAGUAUGGGGACUCAGUCCUCAAUGGAAAUUCUUUUCCAUUGUGUAUUCAUCUUUUCCAAUGUGUAUUCAUUUCAGAUCUAUCUUUAUACAUGUUCCUGCACACAAAGUCAGCAGUGCUAUGUGAGCACCAUAAGAGAAUGAUCAUCUCCAAUAAUCAGACUUAAAUCUAUGUGAAUCAGAUGGAAAUUUUGCUGAUGUGGCUCAGCUCAGUUCUAAAAGUUGAUGCUGUCCUGCUGAGGACACAGUAGACAAACUUUCUUCUUUAGAAAGAAAGCCCAUCUGUAGCACUGCAGCUGUCCUCUCUUCAUCACACAAUUAAUCACAAUUAAUUCACAGUAAUUGGAGAGAGUUGAAACUGCUGUACUGUCAGAUUUUUGUUGGUAGCUCCAAAGUAGCAAUUCUACAAAUAAUGUGACAGUUAAGUCUACAACCUCAUUGAGUGCUCUUACACUUUGCUUUUGAUUCUGAGGCACAGCAGUUUGUUUAGAACUGGCACAUUUAAGACUGAUUCUGUGCUUUCAUUGCCAUUUAACCUCAGGGAGAAGCCAUUUUUCUUUUCCCAGAGUAUUGCUGAUGCCUAUUAUUAGAUUUUAUCCAUGGUAGACAUUGUGCUCCCACUUGUUAUUGUUCUUUUUGAGUUACACUGUGUUCAUUAUUCCCAGGUGACUGAUCGAAUGUGUUUGGUGUAAAACACACUGCAACCCAUCUAAGAUUUUGCUGCAGGCUCUGAAGGGUAGACCUUAGCUUUCAUUUUAUUAGGUUGUGUGGAUUUGUGUGAGAAUAUAAAAAAAAAAACUUCACACAUUACAAAUUCUUCUUAGAGGGUAUUCAGGUAAUCCUUUUUGGUUCUUACCUUGGGAUCUGACUUUGUGGAAUUCCUAGUGCUAGAAACAGGUCCACUGCUCUUGGGUGCAAAUUUCCUCAACCAGACUCAUACCUGUCUAAGAAUUGUUAAAAGGAUUGUAACUGCUAGGGGGAAUGCUUUUAAGUGUUUUUUUUAUGGGGGAGGUGUUGUUCCUGAGAUAAAUCAGAGACUGCUAUAGACUCUUUGUGCCAGCCAGGCUCUUUUUUUUUUUUUUUUUUUUUUUGGUUGGACAGCUGGAGCGUAAUUCUCAUGAAGCAGCAUUUGGGUAUGCUCAUAUUAUUAUGCCAUGGAUAUAAUGCUUUCAGCUGUGGUGGAGACUGGACUUAAAAUGAGUGAGAAUAACUGAGUGCAAAAGAUAAAACAAUAAUUUGGCAUCUAAUCGUAGUGGCAAGCCAAAUGGUAUCUCCAUUGGUUGCAUAAACGUUUGUUUAGAUAUUCCCUGAGAGUUCUUCCCUGAUAAAAUGUAUUUUCUGCUAAGUUAAUUAUAAGUUAGGAAGAUCACAAUUUAAUCAAAGGAGAGCUCUAGCCAUGUUUGACAAGUCAAUAACCAUUCCACUAUGGGUAUGGUAUGUUUGAUAAGUCAACAGUAAUUUUAAUCAGGGUAACAACUGGAAUGGAAGAGAGGAAAAUGCAAACUAAUUAUACCCUUUUAGUCUAAAAAUAAAACUGGGGGAAUUGCACCAUUUUGAUAAAACAAUCUAUUUAUCUGUACAGGGUUAUUCUUGUCAUAAUUAGCCAUUCUUCUAAUGAAGUCAUUGAAUAUGUUGUGACUGAACUGAGGGAAACAAUAUAUUAAUAAAAGAUGAACUGUCUUCUGUGUAGCACCACUUAGCAUUUGAUCCAUACCCUAGGGUUAAUUGGGAUGUGAAAAACUGCCAGAAAUCUGUACAGAAUUGCAAUGUUUCAUACCAGUUUUUUUGUUGUAUUUUGUUGUUGGCAGUGGUUUUGUUUGUUUUUAAAGAACUCAAUAAGAUAAUAUUCUAAUAUAUGAAUUUUUACAUGUGCAUAUGUAUGUAAGUAUAUAAUAUAUAUAUACAUACAUAGGCAUGUAUAUGUAUGUCAUAUCUCAGACUCUUUCAAGGCAUUCAAAGCUACCAGGUGUAACUGUAAUAGCUGUGAUAUGAAAACAGCCAAUUAGAUGCUCAUUCUUUAAGUACAAAUAUUUGUAAUGAUAUAAUAAUAUAGUAAUAUUUUAAGUCAAUUUCCUCUGCCAAAAACUAUUGUCUUGUGGUUUUAAUAUUUCAGACAACAUUGUCAUUUUUAACAGGCCUGGUUCUUAGUCAGAAGUGAAGACUUUUUCUGUGGUAUAUGCUG